CAAUAGCGUAUAUUAAAGUUGUUGCAGUUAAAAAGCUCGUAGUUGGAUUUGUGGCUGUCACGGGCGGCCUAUCACUUAGUGUUAGUGCUUGCCUGUGUCGCCAUCCUUGGGUGGAGCCCGUGUGGCAUCAGGUUGUCGUGCGGGGGAUGCCCAUCGUUUACUGUGAGAAAAUUAGAGUGUUCAAAGCAGGCUUAUGCCGUUGAAUAUGUUAGCAUGGAAUAAUAAGAUAGGACCUCGGUACUAUUUUGUUGGUUUGCGCACCGAGGUAAUGAUUAAUAGGGACAGUUGGGGGUAUUCGUAUUUCAUUGUCAGAGGUGAAAUUCUUGGAUUUCUGAAAGACGAACUACUGCGAAAGCAUUUACCAAGGAUGUUUUCAUUAA
rnacentral:rRNA from 1 species